UACGUAGGGUGCGAGCGUUAGUCGGAAUUACUGGGCGUAAAGCGUGCGCAGGCGGUCUGUUAAGACCGAUGUGAAAUCCCCGGGCUUAACCUGGGAACUGCAUUGGUGACUGGCAGGCUUUGAGUGUGGCAGAGGGAGGUAGAAUUCCACGUGUAGCAGUGAAAUGCGUAGAGAUGUGGAGGAAUACCGAUGGCGAAGGCAGCCUCCUGGGCCAACACUGACGCUCAUGCACGAAAGCGUGGGGAGCAAACAGG
rnacentral:rRNA from 1 species